rnacentral:tRNA from 1 species
AAGUAGUGAAGUAAUAUUUACAUUUAGUUUCGACCUAAAAUUUAGAGAGAAUUAUCUCUCCUUACUUU